rnacentral:lncRNA from 9 species
GCACCUGCCAGCCUCCGCCACAGCUCACGGCCACACUGGAUCCCCGGCCCGCUGAGCGAGGCUGGGUGGGGAUCAAUCCUGCAUCCUCAUGGGUCCUAGUUGGCUUCGUCUCCCCUGCACCACAACCUGGACUCCAGAUUUUCCGGCUUUCUUCUCUGCUUCAAGAACUGUUCAAGGAGCCGAAGCCACGAAGAUGUUCCGUGUGGUGUUAUUUACAGCAGGAGGGGAGAAUCGGAAAUAACACAGGGGUCGGCAAUGACUGGACUGUUAAAAUAACUCCCACCACUUCCUUCAUUGGCGUGAACACUGAGGACUAUCAGGUCCCAAGAGAACCAAGGUUUUUUCCUCUUGUUGAAAGAAGAAUCCCUCAGCCCCGAAAAUAACGGCCAGCAUAUAAAGGUGUUUGGUAUGUAUUCUGGGGAUGAAUGAAUAAAUAAUGCUGUGAAAUUAAUUUCCAAGCCCAUCCUUAAGAAGUGUCAUCGAAGGAGCUCCCGUUCAGGCUCAGCAGAAACGAAUCUGACUAGGAACCACGAGGUUGCGGGUUCGAUCCCUGGCCUUGCUCAGUGGGUUACGGAUCUGGCAUUGCCGUGAGCUGUGGUGUAGGUUGCACAUGGCUCGGAUCCCAAGUUACUAUGGCUCUGGCGUAGGCCGGCAGCAACAGCUCCGAUUCGACCCCUAUCCCGGGAAUCUCCAUAUGCCGCAAGCGCAGCCCUAAAAGACAAAAAAAAAAAAAAAAAAAGAAAUGCCGUCUGACCUUGGGAGUGGAUAAGCAAUGAGGUCCUGCUGCAUAGCACAGGGAGCUCUGUCCAGUCACUUGUGAUGGACAUGACGGAGGAUAAAGUGAGAAAAAGAAAAUGUGUGUGUGUAUAAAUGUAUGACUGGCUCACUUUGCUGCACGGUAGAAAUUGACGGAACACUGUAAAUCACCUGUAACGGAAAAAAUAAAAAUCAUUAAAAAAAAAGAAAUGCCCUCUGGCUGUUGUUUUGCUCUGUGGAGUUCGGAGCGGACCCAAAGGAGCGGUGGUUUUGAGAGGCUGUGCUGGGGGAGCAGGAAAGUCAGAGCCUGGGAGGAACGGGCUCUGCCGCUGGGCGUUGGAGAGUGUUUGCUGGAUGGGAAGCCGUGAAAUUCCCGCUUCCGUGGCUCUCAGAGUCUUCGGGGUGACACGCGGCGCCUGCCGGUUCUUCGGGAUCGGGUGUGCUUUGAGGAGGGAAACGAGGCGCGGAGAUGGGCCUCCGUCGGGGGGUCCCCGGGCAUCCAGGCACAUCUGAGCAGCCUAAUGGGGGCGACAGCGUCGAGACGUGGGGACGUGGUUAGGACACCUUGUUAAAGACCAGACGGGGCGCACCGGCCACCCCGCGCUGAUCGGAAUAGAAAAACAUCUGUUGGGUCGCA